AGGUGCGAUCAUACCAGCACUAAUGCACCAGAUCCCAUCAGAACUCCGCAGUUAAGCGUGCUUGGGCGAGAGUAUUACUAGGAUGGGUGACCUCCUGGGAAGUCCUCGUGUUGCAUUGU
rnacentral:rRNA from 2 species